UACGUAGGUGGCAAGCGUUGUCCGGAUUUACUGGGCGUAAAGGAUGCGUAGGCGGACAUUUAAGUCAGAUGUGAAAUACCCGAGCUUAACUUGGGUGCUGCAUUUGAAACUGGGUGUCUAGAGUGCAGGAGAGGUAAGUGGAAUUCCUAGUGUAGCGGUGAAAUGCGUAGAGAUUAGGAAGAACACCAGUGGCGAAGGCGACUUACUGGACUGUAACUGACGCUGAGGCAUGAAAGCGUGGGGAGCGAACCGG
rnacentral:rRNA from 1 species